AGGCCCGGAGACAGAAGCAGGGUCUGAUUCGCAGCCUCUGAGGCAGCUGUUAAUCAGCCCUUGCCUCUCUCUCUCUCUCUG
rfam:Myotis davidii contig321536, whole genome shotgun sequence.